AGGAGGCCAUUUCAACAAACACUUGUGCUUGGUCCACCAAGGCUUGCUGGAUCUCUUGGUUGCGAACCAUUUUAACUCCCCUUCCCAUUCCCACACUGAUCUUUCUGUCCUGGGCCUCCUCCACUGUCAGAGUGAGUUUGAAAGAGCUAGAUAGG